AGUGAACGCUGGCGGUAGGCCUAACACAUGCAAGUCGAACGGCAGCACAGUAAGAGCUUGCUCUUACGGGUGGCGAGUGGCGGACGGGUGAGGAAUACAUCGGAAUCUACUUUUUCGUGGGGGAUAACGUAGGGAAACUUACGCUAAUACCGCAUACGACCUACGGGUGAAAGCAGGGGAUCUUCGGACCUUGCGCGAUUGAAUGAGCCGAUGUCGGAUUAGCUAGUUGGCGGGGUAAAGGCCCACCAAGGCGACGAUCCGUAGCUGGUCUGAGAGGAUGAUCGGCCACACUGGAAGUGAGACACGGUCCAGACUCCUACGGGAGGGAGCAGUGGGGAAUAUUGGACAAUGGGCGCAAGCCUGAUCCAGCCAUACCGCGUGGGUGAAGAAGGCCUUCGGGUUGUAAAGCCCUUUUGUUGGGAAAGAAAAGCAGCAGGUUAAUACCCCGCUGUUCUGACGGUACCCAAAGAAUAAGCACCGGCUAACUUCGUG
rnacentral:rRNA from 1 species